rnacentral:rRNA from 1 species
UACGUAGGGGGCAAGCGUUGUCCGGAAUUAUUGGGCGUAAAGCGCGUGUAGGCGGCUCGAUAAGUCUGCUGUGAAAGUCCAAGGCUCAACCUUGGAAUGCCGGUGGAUACUGUCGAGCUCGAGUCCGGAAGAGGCGAGUGGAAUUCCUGGUGUAGCGGUGAAAUGCGCAGAUAUCAGGAGGAACACCGGUGGCGAAGGCGGAUCUCUGGGCCUUACCUGACGCUCAGGUGCGAAAGCUAGGGGAGCGAACAGG